GUAAACGGGAUCCUUAGUAAUGGCUGAUGUUAGAAGUUAACACACUGAGAAGUAAUGCAGGCAAAUUGAUGCUUUGAGGGAUAUUGUUUCUGGAUGUUCUCUCCACUGGCGACCAUUGGUUCUUUCUGGGGAUGUCUUCUGGCUAACCAGAUGAUGUUUAGUGAUCUAGGAUGACAUGUGAAGAGCAAAGCAGACUUCUUACCCUCCUCUCCAACCCUCCCAGGGAAGGCACCAUUUCCAUAAAGCUCAGUUAAAGGAAAACAAAAUACCAGGCCUCAUUCUUUCUGAGAUCAAUAGAAAAGCCUUGGUUGGAGAAUUGGAAAGUAGAGUCAACUCAUCUCAAUUCUUUGCAGCAAUAAUUAUUUCCUCUACUUCUCUGCUGGGACUGCUGAAAUCCCAAGAAUCUGAUAACACGAGGGAUUCAUCUAGAAAUACUCUAAAUUUUGGUCUGUGCUCAGCUAUAUCUUCUAUUCUACGAAGCUGCUUGUUUAGUUUGUCUUUUCUUCUGUAUUUUUUUUCCUGGACUUAAAAAAAGGUGAGAUUUUAAUAGAUGGGUGAAGGGCAGAAGUUCAAUGGGAGACAGACCUUGCAUCCUGAACAGUGGUUGAUUGCUUUUUAAAAUGAGAGAAAGCUAAAGUUAGGAAGCUAUGUAAUAUAUUUUCUGGUAUUUCUGAGCAAUGUUCCUCAGAAGAGGAAAAUGUAGAGGUAGGGAAAGUUAAAAAUUAAAAAAAACCCAAACACAGAAUACAACACACCAUAAAACACAAGCAAUGUUUGGGAAUGCUGAGAGAGAGAAAACCCUGAAGACAGGUUUGCUUCCCUGGGGUAUUCCGUGUAUGACAGCAGCCUACUAACUAUUCACGCUAGUUUGACACCAAGAUGCCACGGGAUGGGUUGGGGGAGGAGAGACCCACAGAUCUUCUAGCAAGUCAUUCUAUUCCCAGAUGAUUAGAAUAAAACAUUUCCCAUUUGCAUCUUCGAACAAUGCUUCUGGAUUUCAGGAAGCAAUUUUCAGAUAAGAGAAUACCACCCCAACCAAAUUUUUACAACCCAUUUAUCUCCUUUUCUAAAUCUUAGGAAUGUAUUAGAGCUCUUGAUUCUUCCAAAGGAGACAAUUAAAUAACCAAAUAAUCAAAAAAUUAGAAAGCAUGAAUUUUCUCUAAUGGUUCCAAUAAGUGAGCAAAUUCCUGUGUUUUAAUUUUUUUG